UGUAAUGUAGGUUAUGGGUUUCUGCAUUGAACAUUAGCUAGCUAACGUUAGUUUACCAAAGGUUGGCUAAGAAAAUGUUUAAUUGUAAUUUCUGUGGCAGCUGGUCGGUUAAAACACAGAGGGGUUAUGUGCUUCAUUGCAAACUUCAUAGAAAUGAACCACGUUGUUUGUUUAAGUGCUUUGAAGCUGGUUGAAAACAGACCUUUGUACAAACGUGUUUUGCAGGCUGUCACAAAGCUGAAAAUUCUUAGAGGACAGUUGGAGGGCUGCUCAGAAGACGUGAAAGACAUGGUGCACCUUCUUCUCCUAUUUUGAUGAAAAGGAGGAGAACCUCUUCCACUAUGUCGAAGAAUCAUGUCUGGCAGACGAAGUAGUAGUGGAAAGCUUGCCUGUCACACCAUGCAUCAUUGUAUGUGGAACCUCCUGCUAUGCCUCAAGGCAGUUCAUGCUAAGUGUAGAUGGCAAGGUUGUGAAUGACCAAAUCCCAAACUUUGUUUCUGCCAUCUGUUUGAUGUUUGGAAGCUAUUACUGCUUCAAUAUCCACUAUCCUGUGGUUCUGGGCUCCACACUUGAGUUCCUUCAGAGGUGUUUCUUCCUGAUCAAUCCAGAGAAGGGCACAAAAGUUGAAACCAAGAAAAACAAGAAGCAACUUUCAGUGAACUUGAGUUCCUUCAGAGGUGUUUCUUCCUGAUCAAUCCAGAGAAGGGCACAAAAGUUGAAACCAAGAAAAACAAACUUGUUAUAUCUUGCCAGAACAAACUUUUCAGAUAAGCAAGGUAGGUAAGCUACUAGGAGGGACUUUGCAGAGCUUGUUGACUAGCCAUGCAUUUGAUUUAAUAAAGCUGUCCCUAAGGAAAAUUCAA